AGGAAUAUUGGUCAAUGGGCGAGAGCCUGAACCAGCCAAGUAGCGUGCAGGAUGACGGCCCUAUGGGUUGUAAACUGCUUUUAUAAGGGAAUAAAGUGAGCCUCGUGAGGCUUUUUGCAUGUACCUUAUGAAUAAGGACCGGCUAAUUCCGUGCCAGCAGCCGCGGUAAUACGGAAGGUCCGGGCGUUAUCCGGAUUUAUUGGGUUUAAAGGGAGCGUAGGCCGGAGAUUAAGCGUGUUGUGAAAUGUAGACGCUCAACGUCUGCACUGCAGCGCGAACUGGUUUCCUUGAGUACGCACAAAGUGGGCGGAAUUCGUGGUGUAGCGGUGAAAUGCUUAGAUAUCACGAAGAACUCCGAUUGCGAAGGCAGCUCACUGGAGCGCAACUGACGCUGAAGCUCGAAAGUGCGGGUAUCGAACAGGAUUAGAUACCCUGGUAGUCCGCACGGUAAACGAUGGAUGCCCGCUGUUGGCCUGAAUAGGUCAGCGGCCAAGCGAAAGCAUUAAGCAUCCCACCUGGGGAGUACGCCGGCAACGGUGAAACUCAAAGGAAUUGACGGGGGCCCGCACAAGCGGAGGAACAUGUGGUUUAAUUCGAUGAUACGCGAGGAACCUUACCCGGGCUUGAAUUGCAGAGGAAGGAUUUGGAGACAAUGACGCCCUUCGGGGCCUCUGUGAAGGUGCUGCAUGGUUGUCGUCAGCUCGUGCCGUGAGGUGUCGGCUUAAGUGCCAUAACGAGCGCAACCCCUCUCCUUAGUUGCCAUCAGGUCAUGCUGGGCACUCUGGGGACACUGCCACCGUAAGGUGUGAGGAAGGUGGGGAUGACGUCAAAUCAGCACGGCCCUUACGUCCGGGGCUACACACGUGUUACAAUGGCAGGUACAGAGAGACGGUCCCUUGCAAAAGGGAUCAAAUCCUCAAAGCCUGUCUCAGUUCGGACUGGGGUCUGCAACCCGACCCCACGAAGCUGGAUUCGCUAGUAAUCGCGCAUCAGCCAUGGCGCGGUGAAUACGUUCCCG
rnacentral:rRNA from 1 species